ACUCCUACGGGAGGCAGCAGUGGGGAAUAUUGGACAAUGGGCGAAAGCCUGAUCCAGCAAUGCCGCGUGAGUGAUGAAGGCCUUAGGGUUGUAAAGCUCUUUUACCCGGGAAGAUAAUGACUGCACCGGGAGAAUAAGCCCCGGCUAACUCCGUGCCAGCAGCCGCGGUAAU
rnacentral:rRNA from 1 species